rnacentral:rRNA from 1 species
UACGGAGGGUGCAAGCGUUAUCCGGAUUCACUGGGUUUAAAGGGUGCGUAGGCGGAUUAGAAAGUCCGUUGUGAAAUCUCUGAGCUUAACUCGGAAAUUGCGGUGGAUACUAUUAGUCUUGAAUACUGUGGAGGUUAGCGGAAUAUGUCAUGUAGCGGUGAAAUGCAUAGAUAUGACAUAGAGCACCAAUUGCGAAGGCAGCUGGCUACACAGAUAUUGACGCUGAGGCACGAAAGCGUGGGGAUCAAACAGG